AUCCAGCUGACCAGUCCCAAAUAGGACGAAACGCGCGUCCUGGAC
rnacentral:hammerhead_ribozyme from 1 species